CAGGUUAGUAAAGCGGCGAACGGGUGAGUAACACGUGAGUCACCUACCCUCCAGUAGGGGAUAACACUUCGAAAGGGGUGCUAAUACCGUGUACGGUCCCGACCGUGUCUGCGGAUGGGACGAAAGGUGGCCUCUCUAUAGAAGCUGCCGCUGGGGGAUGGGCUCGCGCCCCAUUAGCUAGUUGGUAGGGUAACGGCCUACCAAGGCAACUAUGGGUAGCUGGUCUGAGAGGACGAUCAGCCACACUGGAACUGAGACACGGUCCAGACUCCUACGGGAGGCAGCAGUGGGGAAUAUUGCACAA
rnacentral:rRNA from 1 species